UACGGAGGGGGCUAGCGUUAUUCGGAAUUACUGGGCGUAAAGCGCACGUAGGCGGAUCAGGAAGUCAGAGGUGAAAUCCCAGGGCUCAACCUUGGAACUGCCUUUGAGACUUCUGGACUUGAGUUCGAGAGAGGUGAGUGGAAUUCCGAGUGUAGAGGUGAAAUGCGUAGAUAUGCGGAGGAACACCGGUGGCGAAGGCAGCUCACUGGCUCGAUACUGACGCUGAGGUGCGAAAGCGUGGGGAGCAAACAGG
rnacentral:rRNA from 1 species